rnacentral:rRNA from 1 species
GAUGAACGCUGGCGGCGCGCCUAAUACAUGCAAGUCGAGCGAACAGAUGAGGAGCUUGCUCCUCUGACGUUAGCGGCGGACGGGUGAGUAACACGUGGAUAACCUACCUAUAAGACUGGGAUAACUUCGGGAAACCGGAGCUAAUACCGGAUAAUAUAUUGAACCGCAUGGUUCAAUAGUGAAAGACGGUUUUGCUGUCACUUAUAGAUGGAUCCGCGCCGCAUUAGCUAGUUGGUAAGGUAACGGCUUACCAAGGCAACGAUGCGUAGCCGACCUGAGAGGGUGAUCGGCCACACUGGAACUGAGACACGGUCCAGACUCCUACGGGAGGCAGCAGUAGGGAAUCUUCCGCAAUGGGCGAAAGCCUGACGGAGCAACGCCGCGUGAGUGAUGAAGGUCUUCGGAUCGUAAAACUCUGUUAUUAGGGAAGAACAAAUGUGUAAGUAACUAUGCACGUCUUGACGGUACCUAAUCAGAAAGCCACGGCUAACUACGUG